GCCCGGAUGGCGAAACUGGCAGACGCAGCGGACUUAAACUCCGCCGCCUCUCGAAAGAGGGCAUGCGGGUUCGAUCCCCGCUCCGGGCA
rnacentral:tRNA from 2 species